AACGCGAAGAACCUUACCUGGGUUUGACAUCCUCGGACCGUCGUAGAAAUACGAUUUUUGUAGCAAUACAACCGAGAGACAGGUGCUGCAUGGCUGUCGUCAGCUCGUGGGGUGACCUGUUGGGUUAAGUCCCGCAACGAGCGCAACCCCUGUCCUGAGUUGCCACCAUUCAGUUGGGCACUCUCAGGAGACUGCCGUGGUGAACACGGAGGAAGGUGGGGAUGACGUCAAGUCCUCAUGGCCUUUAUAUCCAGGGCGACACACGUGAUACAAUGGACGGUACAAAGGGAAGCGAAGUGGUGACACGGAGCCAAUCUCAAAAAGCCGUUCUCAGUUCGGAUUGGAGUCUGCAACUCGACUCCAUGAAGUUGGAAUCGCUAGUAAUCGCGGAUCAGCACGCCGCGGUGAAUACGUUCCCGGGCCUUGUACACACCGUACGUC
rnacentral:rRNA from 1 species